rnacentral:lncRNA from 1 species
UGGAAACCUAGCCGGGCUCCCCGGAAGCCCGCGCCACGGUCUGCAGCUCCUCUGGCUUUGCAGGCGGCCGGAGGCGGGGACACCACGGUUUCCCCAGCGAGUCCCGCGCUGCCGGCUCCGCAGGGCGCCCGGACCCAGGCGCACUCGGAAAGGGUCCACCCUGGGGUCCGAAGGCCGGGUGGGGCAGGAGAAGGGGUGUGGGGCUGUCCCUUGGCUCCCCGCUCGUCCAGACCGGGUGUGGGGAGGGGGCGCUCCCACCUGGAGGCUCCAGGCACGUCCCACUGACCAUCUCCGCGCGGGGCUCCGGUCGCCCCCUCCCGGACAGGCGGGGACGCGCGCGGGCUCUGAGGACCCGGUCACCUGCUCGGUGCCCGUCUGAUCAGGCCCUCGGAGGAGCUCCCAACACCACCUUCCGUGCGGCUUCGCCCGUGGCGCCUGGACCGCCAGCAGGGCCUGUUACACGCGCUGUUCUCCCGGCCAGCGUCCGAAGUUUCUUCCUGCCUAACCAAGUCAGCCACGCCGACGAACCCCAAGAGCGCGGUUUCCUGGACAGAACAUAGGGUAUUUUGUCUGCCCAACAAUCCACGCGGUAUAGAAGUGUGGAAUUCCCACUCAAUCACGGUACUGGAUAGGUCCGUGAAAAACUCCCUCCUGCAGCCCCUUGCAGUCGCAGCCUCGCUCCACUCCUAACCGCUGGCCACCGCUGAUCCGUUCUCCAUCUCUGUAGUUUUGUCUCUUCAAGAAUAUCAGCUGGUUCAUCCAUCUUCUCCUGCGCUCCAACAUCAGGACCAUCCUUGGUUCUCAGGCCUUUGGACUCUGGACAUUACACCAGCAGCCCCUGGGGUUCUCAGGCCUUCAGACUCAGACUGAAUUACGCCACCGGCUUUCCUGGGUCUCCAGCUUGCAAGUAGUAUAUCGUGGCAAAACUCAGCCUCCAAAACCACAUGAGCCAAUUCCCAUAAUAAAUCUCCUCUUAUAUCUCUCUCUAUAUAUACCCUAUUGUGUCUGUUUCUCUGGAGAACCCUAACUAAUACAGAAACCAAAAGCACAGGGAGCCAAAGGAAAAAUAGAUAGACUGGACAUCAACAAAAUUAAAAACCUCUGUGCUUCAAAGGGCACCGUCAACAAAGUGAAAGGACAGUCCACAGAGUGGUAGAAAAUUUUUGCAAAUCAUGUGUAUACGAUAAGGCACUUAUUUCUA